CCAAUAGCGUAUAUUAAAGUUGUUGUGGUUAAAAAGCUCGUAGUUGAACCUUGGGCCUGGCUGGCCGGUCCGCCUCACCGCGUGUACUGGUCCGGCCGGGCCUUUCCCUCUGUGGAACCUCAUGCCCUUCACUGGGUGUGACGGGGAAGCAGGACUUUUACUGUGAAAAAAUUAGAGUGCUCCAAGCAGGCCUAUGCUCGAAUACAUUAGCAUGGAAUAAUAAAAUAGGACGUGCGGUUCUAUUUUGUUGGUUUCUAGGACCGCCGUAAUGAUUAAUAGGGACAGUCGGGGGCAUCAGUAUUCAAUUGUCAGAGGUGAAAUUCUUGGAUUUAUUGAAGACUAACUACUGCGAAAGCAUUUGCCAAGGAUGUUUUCAUUAAUCAGGAACGAAAGUUAGGGGAUCGAAGACGAUCAGAUACCGCCGUAGUCUUAACCAUAAACUAUGCCGACUAGGGAUCGGACGAUGUUAUUUUUUGACUCGUUCGGCACCUUACG
rnacentral:rRNA from 1 species